AACGAACGCUGGCGGCAUGCCUAACACAUGCAAGUCGAACGAGACCUUCGGGUCUAGUGGCGCACGGGUGCGUAACGCGUGGGAACCUGCCCUUAGGUUCGGAAUAACUCCCCGAAAGGGGUGCUAAUACCGGAUAAUGUCUUCGGACCAAAGAUUUAUCGCCUUUGGAUGGGCCCGCGUUGGAUUAGCUAGUUGGUAGGGUAAAAGCCUACCAAGGCGACGAUCCAUAGCUGGUCUGAGAGGAUGAUCAGCCACACUGGGACUGAGACACGGCCCAGACUCCGACGGGGGGCAGCAGGGGGGAAUAUUGGAAAAUGGGCGAAAGCCUGAUCCAGCAAUGCCGGGGGAGUGAUGAAGGCCUUGGGGUGGUAAAGCUCUUUUACCCGGGAUGAUAAUGACAGUACCGGGAGAAUAAGCCCCGGCUAACUCCGU
rnacentral:rRNA from 1 species